rnacentral:rRNA from 1 species
AGAGUUUGAUCCUGGCUCAGGACGAACGCUGGCGGCGUGCCUAACACAUGCAAGUCGAACGAAGCAUUUGGAGCUGAUCUCUUCGGAGUGACGCACCUUAUGACUUAGUGGCGGACGGGUGAGUAACACGUGAGCAACCUGCCUCUCAGAGUGGAAUAACAGUUGGAAACGGCUGCUAAUACCGCAUAACGUCAUAGUACCGCAUGAUACCUUGACCAAAGAUUUAUCGCUGAGAGAUGGGCUCGCGUCCGAUUAGGUAGAUGGUGGGGUAACGGCCUACCAUGCCGACGAUCGGUAGCCGGACUGAGAGGAAGGUCCCCCACAUUGGAACUGAGACACGGUCCAAACUCCUACGGGAGGCAGCAGUGAGGAAUAUUGGUCAAUGGGCGAGAGCCUGAACCAGCCAAGUAGCGUGCAGGACGACGGCCCUAUGGGUUGUAAACUGCUUUUAUGCGGGGAUAAAGUGCGGCACGUGUGCCGUUUUGUAGGUACCGCAUGAAUAAGGACCGGCUAAUUCCGUGCCAGCAGCCGCGGUAAUACGGAAGGUCCGGGCGUUAUCCGGAUUUAUUGGGUUUAAAGGGAGCGCAGGCCGGAGGUCAAGCGUGACGUGAAAUGUAGCCGCUCAACGGCUGAGUUGCGUCGCGAACUGGCUUCCUUGAGUGAGUGCGACGUCAGCGGAAUUCGUGGUGUAGCGGUGAAAUGCUUAGAUAUCACGAAGAACCCCGAUUGCGAAGGCAGCUGACGAGCCCUUUACUGACGCUAAAGCUCGAAGGUGCGGGUAUCGAACAGGAUUAGAUACCCUGGUAGUCCGCACGGUAAACGAUGGAUGCCCGCUGUAUGCGAUACAAUGUAUGCGGCCAAGCGAAAGCGUUAAGCAUCCCACCUGGGGAGUACGCCGGCAACGGUGAAACUCAAAGGAAUUGACGGGGGCCCGCACAAGCGGAGGAACAUGUGGUUUAAUUCGAUGAUACGCGAGGAACCUUACCCGGGCUUGAACUGCAGAGGAAUGCGGUGGAGACACCAAAGCCCUUCGGGGCCUCUGUGGAGGUGCUGCAUGGUUGUCGUCAGCUCGUGCCGUGAGGUGUCGGCUUAAGUGCCAUAACGAGCGCAACCCCUUUCGCCAGUUGCCAUCAGGUGAUGCUGGGCACUCCGGCGACACUGCCACCGCAAGGUGUGAGGAAGGUGGGGAUGACGUCAAAUCAGCACGGCCCUUACGUCCGGGGCUACACACGUGUUACAAUGGGGGGUACAGAGAGUCAGGCGUUGGCAACACCGCCUUAAUCCAAAAAGCCAUCCUCAGUUCGGAUUGGGGUCUGCAACCCGACCCCAUGAAGCUGGAUUCGCUAGUAAUCGCGCAUCAGCCAUGGCGCGGUGAAUACGUUCCCGGGCCUUGUACACACCGCCCGUCAAGCCAUGAAAGCCGGGGGCGCCUGAAGUCCGUGACCGCGAGGGUCGGCCUAGGGUGAAACCGGUGAUUGGGGCUAAGUCGUAACAAGGUAGCCGUACCGGAAGGUGCGGCUGGAACACCUCCUU